CCUAACGCGAUUCGUUUGGGUGCCUUUUUAUUGCAAAAGGUGAAACGGGAAACCGGUGCGCCAUGGUCUUCAAGACCGUGGCAAGUCCGGUGCUGCCCCCGCAACGGUAAUCGAGGAAAACGUCUGAUCCACUGUGCCAGCAGUCCGGCAUGGGAAGGAGACGCCCAGGCCCAUGGCCCCUUGAAAGCCCGGAGACCGGCCCACGACCGAUUUGACCA
rnacentral:ncRNA from 2 species